rnacentral:rRNA from 1 species
GACGAACGCUGGCGGCGUGCUUAACACAUGCAAGUCGAACGGAAAGGCCCUGCUUUUGUGGUGCUCGAGUGGCGAACGGGUGAGUAACACGUGAGUAACCUGCCCUUGACUUUGGGAUAACUUCAGGAAACUGGGGCUAAUACCGGAUAGGAGCUCCUGCUGCAUGGUGGGGGUUGGAAAGUUUCGGCGGUUGGGGAUGGACUCGCGGCUUAUCAGCUUGUUGGUGGGGUAGUGGCUUACCAAGGCUUUGACGGGUAGCCGGCCUGAGAGGGUGACCGGCCACAUUGGGACUGCGAUACGGCCCAGACUCCUACGGGAGGCAGCAGUGGGGAAUAUUGCACAAUGGGCGGAAGCCUGAUGCAGCAACGCCGCGUGCGGGAUGACGGCCUUCGGGUUGUAAACCGCUUUCGCCUGUGACGAAGCGUGAGUGACGGUAAUGGGUAAAGAAGCACCGGCUAACUACGUG